rnacentral:rRNA from 1 species
AGAGUUUGAUCCUGGCUCAGGAUGAACGCUAGCUACACGGCUUAACACAUGCAAGUCGAGGGGCAGCAUGGUCUUAGCUUGCUAAGGCCGAUGGCGACCGGCGCACGGGUGAGUAACGCGUAUCCAACCUGCCUUACACUCUUGGACAGCCUUCUGAAAGGGAGAUUAAUACAAGAUGUUAUCAUGAGUAAGCAUUUUCGCAUGAUUAAAGGUUUACCGGUGUAAGAUGGGGAUGCGUUCCAUUAGAUAGUAGGCGGGGUAACGGCCCACCUAGUCUUCGAUGGAUAGGGGUUCUGAGAGGAAGGUCCCCCACAUUGGAACUGAGACACGGUCCAAACUCCUACGGGAGGCAGCAGUGAGGAAUAUUGGUCAAUGGGCGAGAGCCUGAACCAGCCAAGUAGCGUGAAGGAUGACUGCCCUAUGGGUUGUAAACUUCUUUUAUAAAGGAAUAAAGUCGGGUAUGGAUACCCGUUUGCAUGUACUUUAUGAAUAAGGAUCGGCUAACUCCGUGCCAGCAGCCGCGGUAAUACGGAGGAUCCGAGCGUUAUCCGGAUUUAUUGGGUUUAAAGGGAGCGUAGAUGGAUGUUUAAGUCAGUUGUGAAAGUUUGCGGCUCAACCGUAAAAUUGCAGUUGAUACUGGA